UGCAGUCGAGCGAAGAGAUGGGAGCUUGCUCCCUGAUCUUAGCGGCGGACGGGUGAGUAACACGUGGGCAACCUGCCCUGCAGACUGGGAUAACUCCGGGAAACCGGAGCUAAUACCGGGUAAUACAUCGCACCGCAUGGUGCAAUGUUGAAAGUUGGCUUUCUGAGCUAACACUGCAGGAUGGGCCCGCGGCGCAUUAGCUAGUUGGUAAGGUAAUGGCUUACCAAGGCGACAAUCCGUAGCCAACCUGAGAGGGUGAUCGGCCACACUGGGACUGAGACACGGCCCAAACUCCUACGGGAGGCAGCAUUAGGGAAUCUUCCGCAAUGGACGAAAGUCUGACGGAGCAACGCCCCGUGAGUGACGAAGGCCUUCGGGUCGUAAAGCUCUUUUGUUAGGGAAGAACAAGUACCGUUCGAAUAGGGCGGUACCUUGACGGUACCUAACCAAAAAGCCACGGCUAACUACGUGCCAGCAGCCGCGGUAAUACGUAGGUGGCAAGCGUUGUCCGGAAUUAUUGGGCGUAAAGCGCGCGCAGGCGGUCUUUUAAGUCUGAUGUGAAAGCCCACGGCUCAACCGUGAAGGGUCAUUGGAAACUGGAGGACUUGAGUGCAAAAAAGGAAAGUGGAAUUCCACGUGUAGCGGUGAAAUGCGUAAAUAUGUGGAGGAACACCAGUGGCGAAGGCGGCUCUCUGGUCUGUAACUGACGCUAAGGCGCGAAAGCGUGGGGAGCAAACAGGAUUAGAUACCCUGGUAGUCCACGCCGUAAACGAUGAGUGCUAGGUGUUUGGGGGGUUCCACCCUCAGUGCUGAAGUUAACACAUUAAGCACUCCGCCGGGGGAGUACAACCGCAAGGUUGAAACUCAAAGGAAUUGACGGGGGCCCGCACAAGCAGUGGAGCAGGUGGUUUAAUUCGAAGCAACGCGAAAAACCUUACCAGGUCUUGACAUCCUCUGACAAUCCUGGAAAACAGGACGUUCCCCUUCGGGGGACAGAGUGACAGGUGGUGCAUGGUUGUCGUCAGCUCGUGUCGUG
rnacentral:rRNA from 1 species